GGUUCGACCACACCCAUUAUUAGUGACUCAGGACGGGUACAGGGUCACAUUCUCAUUCGUACUCGGCCUUCACGGCUGUUUCAUAUGCGCGUUUGGUGGACAUUAGGUUCUAAGUCCCUCCGCGCGCUCACAUACGCGGUAUGCUAGCAUGAAAGCGAGGCGCUUGUUUUGAAGACACCAGGUCAACCAGAGAAAAAAAGCUCUUGUAAACAGCUGAAUUCUCAGCUGAAUUUCCUCCUUCAUUUCUAAAACUACAUCGAACAAUGUGUGAAGCACAUUCACAAGGCAACAUGUAUGAACUGUAUUUGCACUGUUUGGUGAGAUUCGAGAAGAAAUAUGGGUAAAACCGCUCGGCAAAUUUUACAUUUCGAAGAUGGCAUCAGCAGAAGUUGGAUUUUUCGUGAACUUCACGGCGGGAUAUGACAGGGACUCACACUUAUUCCUUCAAUUCGGUAAGUCAAGUUUGUUGUAUUUGACUAUUUAGCUUACCAAUAUGAUGUUUCUACAGGUGUACCAUUUUUUUUUAAAGUAAAUUUGUCUUACCUAGGAAUCCCGACAUUUAGCCUAAUUGAGAAUCGAAGGAAGCGAACUCCGCUUCGACAUUCCACAGCAUUUGUUUUAUUGUUUCAAGGGUUUCUUUUCAAGCGGAUAAAUUUUGGUAUGCUUUUUUUAUGAAACUCUAACAACUGUUUCCACAGUAUCAUCACCUGGAAUUAUUUACUUACUUUUGACAAGCGUGAAAUAUCAGUGUAAGUUAUUUUCCAUUUUUUGGUCAAUAUUUUUUUGGUUAUCUAUUUUCCCGCCUUUUUACGACACGCGCGUGGUACACCCGGCAAUUUUUAUUUCGUCGUGAUACUAAAGGAAAAUGGAGGACGAAACCCAAUUAUAUGAGUGGGUUGAUGAAGAGGAGGAGGAGAGGAAGUUGAGGGAGAGGAGGGAGAAGACGCUAAGGCUAAACACACAUAUUUGGCGGGCAGAGGCAGAAAGAAAGUAAGUUUGAUUUUGUUUGCAUUCAUUGUUUAUUUUUGCACCUGAACUCAACCUUGUUUUGUUUUUGUAUAUUUUAGGAGAAGGAUGACAGCAGAAUUUAAGAAGAAAAAAAAAGAUGGAGAAUGGAAUUUCGUAUGUGGAUUUGACUGAAGAGGAGGAGAGCGCAGAGAAGGAGAAAGCUCUGAGGAGGAAACAGGAAUUAGAAGAAAGACUAAAAA